rnacentral:rRNA from 1 species
CCUCCUUUCUUCCGCCGUUUUUACUAUUUCCCCCUUUUCUCCCUCCUGCUGCCGCCCCGCCGCGUGAGCGAUGAAGGCCUUCGGGUCGUAAAGCUCUGUCCUCAAGGAAGAUAAUGACGGUACUUGAGGAGGAAGCCCCGGCUAACUACGUGCCAGCAGCCGCGGUAAUACGUAGGGGGCUAGCGUUAUCCGGAAUUACUGGGCGUAAAGGGUGCGUAGGUGGUUUCUUAAGUCAGAGGUGAAAGGCUACGGCUCAACCGUAGUAAGCCUUUGAAACUGGGAAACUUGAGUGCAGGAGAGGAGAGUGGAAUUCCUAGUGUAGCGGUGAAAUGCGUAGAUAUUAGGAGGAACACCAGUAGCGAAGGCGGCUCUCUGGACUGUAACUGACACUGAGGCACGAAAGCGUGGGGAGCAAACAGGAUUAGAUACCCUGGUAGUC